rnacentral:rRNA from 1 species
GACGAACGCUGGCGGCGUGCUUAACACAUGCAAGUCGAACGGUAAGGCCCUUCGGGGUACACGAGUGGCGAACGGGUGAGUAACACGUGGGUGAUCUGCCCUGCACUUCGGGAUAAGCCUGGGAAACUGGGUCUAAUACCGGAUAGGACCACUGCCUGCAUGGGUGGUGGUGGAAAGCUUUUGCGGUGUGGGAUGGGCCCGCGGCCUAUCAGCUUGUUGGUGGGGUGAUGGCCUACCAAGGCGACGACGGGGAGCCGGUCUGAGAGGGGGACCGGCCACACUGGGACUGAGAUACGGCCCAGACUCCUACGGGAGGCAGCAGUGGGGAAUAUUGCACAAUGGGCGCAAGCCUGAUGCAGCGACGCCGCGUGAGGGAUGACGGCCUUCGGGUUGUAAACCUCUUUCAGCACCGACGAAGCGCAAGUGACGGUAGGUGCAGAAGAAGGACCGGCCAACUACGUGCCAGCAGCCGCCGUAA